AUUUAGCCCUGAUUGAAACGACAUCCUUUUUGCUUUUUUUGCAAAAAGAUAUAGUGGAAAGCAGGAAAUAGC
rnacentral:sRNA from 1 species